ACGCUGGCGGCAGGCCUAACACAUGCAAGUCGAGCGCGCCUUCGGGUGAGCGGCGGACGGGUUAGUAACGCGUGGGAACGUACCCUUCUCUACGGAAUAGCCUUUGGAAACGAAGAGUAAUACCGUAUACGCCCUUUGGGGGAAAGAUUUAUCGGAGAAGGAUCGGCCCGCGUUAGAUUAGAUAGUUGGUGGGGUAAUGGCCUACCAAGUCUACGAUCUAUAGCUGGUUUUAGAGGAUGAUCAGCAACACUGGGACUGAGACACGGCCCAGACUCCUACGGGAGGCAGCAGUGGGGAAUCUUAGACAAUGGGCGCAAGCCUGAUCUAGCCAUGCCGCGUGAGUGAUGAAGGCCUUAGGGUCGUAAAGCUCUUUCGCCUGUGAUGAUAAUGACAGUAGCAGGUAAAGAAACCCCGGCUAACUCCGUGCCAGCAGCCGCGGUAAUACGGAGGGGGUUAGCGUUGUUCGGAAUUACUGGGCGUAAAGCGCACGUAGGCGGAUUGGAAAGUUGGGGGUGAAAUCCCGGGGCUCAACCCCGGAACUGCCUCCAAAACUAUCAGUCUAGAGUUCGAGAGAGGUGAGUGGAAUUCCAAGUGUAGAGGUGAAAUUCGUAGAUAUUUGGAGGAACACCAGUGGCGAAGGCGGCUCACUGGCUCGAUACUGACGCUGAGGUGCGAAAGUGUGGGGAGCAAACAGGAUUAGAUACCCUGGUAGUCCACACCGUAAACGAUGAAUGCCAGUCGUCGGGCAGUAUACUGUUCGGUGACACACCUAACGGAUUAAGCAUUCCGCCUGGGGAGUACGGUCGCAGGAUAAACUCAAUGGACGACGGGU
rnacentral:rRNA from 1 species